AGAUGUGAGGGUGAUCUGGCUGCAACAUCUGCCACUCCAUUGAUCGCCAGGGUUGAUUGGGCUAGGCUGGCUGGCUAGACAGGUGUUCCCUUCUUCCCUCAUUGCUCCAUGUGCAUCCCUUUCAAAGCUGCACGACUGGUGGAGGAGGACGAACAUGCCCAAUAGAGGAGGACUGGUCUUCUGUCAAGAGUGUUCUAGCUGCACUCCCCUGCCAGAACCUCCAAACAAGUUCUCAAGAAUGGCGAUUUACUAUGUAGAUCUUAAAUUCGCUUUGCUGGAAAUUUUUGUGAGGAAUUCCAGAUUGGACUUCUAAAGCCUUUUU
ensembl:misc_RNA 7SK 7SK RNA